AUCAACGCUGGCGCGUGCCUAACACAUGCAAGUCGAACGAGAAAGUGGAGCAAUCCAUGAGUACAGUGGCGACCGGUAGUGAGUAACACGUGACUAACCUGCCCUCGAUGUGGGGAAUAAACUCCGGGAAACCGGAGCUAAUACCGCAUAACAUCGCAAGAAUGCAAAGGCUCGGAAGGCGCUGGAGGAGGUGGGUCCGCUGAUUAGCUAGUUGUAGGGUAAUGGCUCUACCAGGCAAAGAUCGGGUAUCCGGCCUGAAGGGCGCACGGACACACUGGAACUGAACACUGUCCAGACUCCUACUUGGAAGCAGCAGUGGGGAAUUUUGCGCAAUGGGGAAACCCUGACGGCAGCAUAACGCCGUGGAGGAUUGAAGGUCCCUUGGGACGUAAACUCCUUUCGACCCGGACGAUACUGACGGUACGGGUGGAAGAAGCACCUGCUAACUCUGAUGCCAAGCAGCCGCGAGGUAAUACAGAGGGGUGGCGAGCGUUUGUUCGCGGAAUUAUUGGCGUAAAGGGGCGCUGUAGGCGUGCGGUAAGUCACCUGUGAAAUCUCCUGUCUCAACGUGGAGCUUGCAGGCAACUGCCGUGCUGGAGUGUGGGAGAGGUGCGUGGGAAUUUCCCUGGUGUAGCGGUGAGAUAUGCGUAGAUAUCGGGGGAGGAAGCACCUGUGGCGAAAGCGGGCGCACUGGACCCACAACUGACGCUGAGGCGCGAAAGCUGUAGGGGAGCAAAACAGGGAUUAGAAUACCCUGGUAGUCCAUAGCCCUAAAACUAUGUGAUGCUUGCUGUGAUGGGUACCCAAAUCCCGAUCGUGGUCGCCAGCUAACGCGCAUUAUAGCACUCCCGCCUGGGGAGUACGGUCGCAAAGGCUGAAAACUCAAAGGAAUUGACGGGGGGCCCGCACAAGCGGGUGGAGCAAUGUGGGUUCAAUUCGAACGCAACGCGAAGAACCUUACCUGGGGCUCGAAAUGGAGUGAAUCCGGUGGAAACAUCGGCGCCCGCAAGGGCCGCUCUAUAGGUGCUGCAUGGCUGUCGCCAGCUCGUGUCGUGAGAUGUUGGGUUAAGUCCCGCAACGAGCGCAACCCUUAUCGUUAGUUGCCAUCGGGUCAAGCCGGGCAACUCUAGCGAAAACCGCCUCGGAUAACGGGGAGGAAGGUGGGGGAUGACGUCAAGUCCUCAUGGCCUUUAUGUCCAGGGCUACACACGUGCUACAAUGCACGGUACAAACCGUCGCAAACCCGCGAGGGGGAGCUAAUCGGAAAAAGCCGUGCUCAGUUCGGAAUUGGAGUCUGCAACCCGACUCCAUGAAGCUGGAAUCGCUAGUAAUCGCAGAUCAAAACGCUGCGGUGAAUACGUUCCCGGGCCUUGUACACACCGCCCGUCAGCAUCACGAAAGUGGACCAUACUAGAAGCAGGUGGGCCAACCGCAGGGGGCAGCCUUCCAAGGUAUAGUUCAUGAUUGGGGUG
rnacentral:rRNA from 1 species